GGAGCGCCCCGGGCGGAGGGAGAGGGGCGCGGGGCGGGCCUCGGCGCCCAGGCGGCGUGACCUUCCCGGGCGUCCAGGGAAGCGGCGAGAGCUGCCACGCACGUGCCGCGGGACCCGCGCGCCGCCCAGGGAUGGCCCGCCGGGGUCGCUGGAGAAUCUCAGGGUCAUCGGCCUCCUUCCCCCAGUGCCUACCUGGAUAUGUGGUGCCUGUCAUAAGGUCCAGCGAGCUGCCUUCCACGAGACCAGCAGAAGAGUGGGCAAACGUGAAGUCCAGUCCUGCUGCCCAGGCUGCCAUUGACCUCACGGCGGGGGCUGCAGGUUCCUGCUUCUCCACGCCAAUGACAUGGUGAGAGAAUACAGGGGGAGCUGAAGACAAACAACAUAAACUUAUGUUUGCAAAGCACCUUUUACUCUGUGAAAUAAAGUGAGUGCAAGCAGUAAAUGGAACAACAAGCUUUCAGAGUCACUGCAGGGCAAGAGCUGGGGAAGGAAGAGCUGGCUGGUCAGGGAGGAUGCACUGGAGAGAAAAACCAUCACUCAAUUGGCUAGGACAUUCCAGGACAUCAGGGAGACCACACAACAGCCAGAGUGUCUCUUCUCCUCCAAAUGAACGCAACACCUCUCCAGCAAGGGCACAGAACUGGGCUGAGGCUGAGUAUUGCUGAGGCAAUACCGUUUAGAACAUAGGCACGGGUAAGGAUUUCAUGACAAAAACACCAAAAGCAAUUGCAACCAAAGCAAAAAUUGAUAAAUGGGAUCUAAUUGAACC
rnacentral:lncRNA from 1 species